rnacentral:lncRNA from 10 species
GUCUCUCCCAGGCUCCCUCCCUUCUCCGUCCCGCCCGCCCGGGUGGAAGGAAACAGCUGGGGGCUCUUCUUUUCCAGGCUGCGGUCGCCUCCUCUUCGGUUGCGGACGGGCCGAGGUUGGGGGCUCGGGCCGCUUUCCGCACGCGCCGACCCCCGCCGGGGACCGCAGGGGACCCGAGUGCGCGGGGCUUCCCGCCCGCCGGGCAGCCUCCCCCACCCCGCCUGCCCCGCCGGCAGCCCACAAAUAUUCCCGAGGCCCGGAGGGGGCAGAAAACGCCUUUCCAGCGCGUCUUCUGGCCCCGGCCCACCUUUCUGCGCGCGGAACCCUUCGAGGAGAGGCCUGGACACCCGACACGAACCAAGACUCAGAGAGGUGAAGAGACUGGAAGAACAAGGUAGCCCUGGGGACGAGAAAGAGGAGGAGAAAGAAAUGACCCAGGACAGGCUGUUCUGGGGACCACCCCCAUCCCGACUACAGGGGGAGGCUUUUGUACCCAAGAAAUUGUAUCCGUGACUGAGGAUACAAUUUAUAUCCCACCUCCACCCUUUAUAUGAAAGGAAUAAAGUAAACAUGUUUUUAGGCUGCAACAUGGGGGGAAAU